GACUUAAAUCCCUAAAAUGACUUAAAAUGCGAAAAUCCUGUAAUUGGAGUAAAGUAAAGGAGCCGUUUCGCAGCCCUUACGCGAAAGUCCUGCGAUUGGAGCCCCUUACGCGAGAUCCGGCAGCCCUCCUGCGCGAGUUCCGGCAGCCACCUUGCACGAGUUCCGGCAGCUGUUUCGCACAAAUAUGGGUGAUGGUGAAAGUGAGACAUUCGAAUUCAUGGCUGAGAGACUGAGCCCUAUGAACAACACUUUCCAUUUAAACAAAGAAACCUUCUUUCACGAACUUAUCAACAAUGCUUUUGAG